rnacentral:rRNA from 1 species
UACGUAGGUGGCGAGCGUUGUCCGGAAUUACUGGGCGUAAAGGGUGCGUAGGCGGAAAAUUAAGUCAGAUGUGAAAAUCCCGGGCUCAACCUGGGAACUGCAUUUGAAACUGAUUUUCUAGAGUGCAGGAGAGGAAAGCGGAAUUCCUAGUGUAGCGGUGAAAUGCGUAGAUAUUAGGAAGAACACCAGUGGCGAAGGCGGCUUUCUGGACUGUAACUGACGCUGAGGCACGAAAGCGUGGGGAGCAAACAGG